GACAUGGCAGGAAGUUCCAGAGAUGGAUUCGUGCUCGAAAGAGAACCUGCACACAGGUGCUGCAUGGCUGUCGUCAGCUCGUGUCGUGAGAUGUUGGGUUAAGUCCCGCAACGAGCGCAACCCUUGCCAUUAGUUGCUACAUUUAGUUGGGCACUCUAAUGGGACUGCCGGUGACAAACCGGAGGAAGGUGGGGAUGACGUCAAGUCCUCAUGGCCCUUAUAGGUGGGGCUACACACGUCAUACAAUGGCCGGUACAAAGGGUAGCCAGCCCGCGAGGGGGAGCCAAUCCCAUAAAGCCGGUCGUAGUCCGGAUCGCAGUCUGCAACUCGACUGCGUGAAGUCGGAAUCGCUAGUAAUCGUGGAUCAGCAUGUCACGGUGAAUACGUUCCCGGGUCUU
rnacentral:rRNA from 1 species